AUUGAACGCUGGCGGCAUGCCUUACACAUGCAAGUCGAACGGCAGCACGGGGCAACCUGGUGGCGAGUGGCGAACGGGUGAGUAAUGCAUCGGAACGUACCUUUCAGUGGGGGAUAACGUAGCGAAAGUUACGCUAAUACCGCAUAUUCUGUGAGCAGGAAAGCAGGGGAUCGCAAGACCUUGCGCUGUUUGAGCGGCCGAUGUCAGAUUAGCUAGUUGGUGAGGUAAAGGCUCACCAAGGCGACGAUCUGUAGCGGGUCUGAGAGGAUGAUCCGCCAAACUGGAACUGAGACACGGUCCAGACGCCUAGGGGAGGCAGCAGUGGGGAUUUUUGGACAAUGGGGGCAACCCUGAUCCAGCCAUGCCGCGGGAGUAAAGAAGGCUUUCGGGUUGUAAAGCUCUUUCGGCCGGGAAGAAUCGCACGGGCUAAUACCCUGUGUGGAUGACGGUACCGGAAUAAGAAGCACCGGCUAACUACGUGCCAGCAGCCGCAGUAAAAC
rnacentral:rRNA from 1 species